UACGGGAGGCAGCAGUGGGGAAUAUUGCACAAUGGGCGCAAGCCUGAUGCAGCCAUGCCGCGUGUAUGAAGAAGGCCUUCGGGUUGUAAAGUACUUUCAGUCGUGAGGAAGGUGUUAAGGUUAAUAACCUUAGCAAUUGACGUUAGCGACAGAAGAAGCACCGGCUAACUCCGUGCCAGCAGCCGCGGUAAUACGGAGGGUGCGAGCGUUAAUCGGAAUUACUGGGCGUAAAGAGCACGCAGGCGGUUAAUUAAGUUGGAUGUGAAAUCCCCGGGCUUAACCUGGGAAUGGCAUUCAAGACUGGUUAGCUAGAGUCUUGUAGAGGGGGUAGAAUUCCAUGUGUAGCGGUGAAAUGCGUAGAGAUGUGGAGGAAUACCGGUGGCGAAGGCGGCCCCUGGGACAAAGACUGACGCUCAUGUGCGAAAGCGUGGGGAGCAAACAGGAUUAGAUACC
rnacentral:rRNA from 1 species